AUGCUUGCCUCAACGAAGUAUCGCUACCGUUCUCUUUCGUUUUACUAACAAGUUCAAUUUGUUUCUUGUUUUUGUAUUAGUCGAUUUUUAAUAUGCACAGGCUUGCAUAAAGAUAGUUAAUUAUAAAUUUCAUUUGUUUGAUUUUAAGCUUAGCAUUUCAUUCAGCUCGACUUCAAGCUGACAAUCCCCAAUGCAAAUAUCCUUGCGUCUCGUUAGGCAGGUUACAUUUCCAAUAGUUUGAACGUAGCUUCCGCGUUAUUAUACUUUGCCAGUUUUAGUGCAUUGUAUAGCUACACAGUAUUUUGGUUUUAAACUUAGCGAGAUAUCUCAAAACCCCUUGGCAUGCUCUUAGCACGGUACUUAGCUGUAGAUCCUUUUAAAAUUUGCUAACAGAUGUAAACUUGAAAACCAGAUUUUUCGGCUUAAUAUAUUCCAUCUAUCAUUUAAAUCUCUUUGAUGAUAACUUUCAAAAAUUGAAGGAAAUCCGAUGUUGACGAUGAAAUCACUGUAGAUACGAAUGUUUACUCAACGAAAUUACCAUACAAUUUGAUGCCGAUCAUUUUAAAGACAUUUUUAGCAAAAUAUAAGCAGUCAAACUAGUAGAAAUUUUUACAAAAAAAAGCCAUAUACGAGGUUUGUUUAGUACAAAUGACUAUACGAUCGCAAUAAUAUAGUAAUCAAAUGAGCCACAGGAG